AAGAUCAUGCUUCAUAGGAUCAUUUCUAUAUGAAGCUAGCAGAGAUCGUUCCGCGAUCUUAGAACUCACUCAGCCACGAUGAUGAGCCAAGGGUCUCUGCCUGAGCGCGAAACUGGGAGCGCAGUUUUCGGAUCCUACCGUAUCUGCCUCCUGUGAUGACCGUUCCCGCGGCACUGAGUUGCCAACGGGAGGGCAGGGACCUAAUCUGAGUGGU
rnacentral:snoRNA from 1 species